ACCACGCGGUGCCCCUGCUGCAGAUUGCUACAAGAUGGCUCUUGCUCAUCUUGAGCAGAAUCAGCUUACAGAUGCACUAUCUUGUUUGGACGAAGCAUUCUUAGCCCUUGCAAAGGACCAGUCACGUGAAGCCGACAUCAAAGCGCAGGCCACCAUUUGUGCUCAGUAUAAGAUUGCAGUUGCUCUGCUGCAGGUAACAUUUGUUUUCUCAAUCGCAUGCGGCGUCUAUGAUUAAGAUCAGCUUGCUAGUCAUUCACCUCGAACCGUUGAGAUUGUUGCCUUAAGCUUUAGCAUCCUUGGCUUCUGUGCAGGAAAUUGCUCGUCUGCAAAGGGUUCAAGGAGCCGGUGCUCUCAGUGCGAAGGAGGAAAUGGCCAGGCUAUCUCGGCACCUUGCUUCCCUGCCCAUCCAGGCCAAGCACCGGAUCAACUGCAUCAGGACCGCCAUCAAGCGGAACAUGGAGGUCCAGAACUACGCCUACGCCAAGCAAAUGCUCGACCUCCUCUACUCCAAG
rnacentral:lncRNA from 1 species